rnacentral:tRNA from 1 species
GUAGCUCAGUGGUAGAGCACUUGCCUCGCAUGCAUGAGGCCCUGAGUUCAAUUUGAGUCCUCAGC